rnacentral:rRNA from 1 species
UACGUAGGGGGCUAGCGUUGUCCGGAUUUAUUGGGCGUAAAGAGCGUGUAGGCGGCCAUGUAGGUCCGGUGUGAAAACUCGAGGCUUAACCUCGAGAUGUCAUCGGAAACCAUUUGGCUAGAGUCCGGAAGAGGAGAGUGGAAUUCCUGGUGUAGCGGUGAAAUGCGCAGAUAUCAGGAAGAACACCUAUGGCGAAAGCAGCUCUCUGGGACGGUACUGACGCUGAGACGCGAAAGCGUGGGGAGCGAACAGG